GAGCCGCGGCCGCAGCGGCAUCGCGGCCUGGGGACGCCCGCUCCGCUGGACACGGCGUCCCCGAGAGCGCCCGCCACGCGCGGACCUGCUUCCCGGGGUCCGGGGCUGCCCCGGGGCGUCCGGCGUUCCCCGAGGCGGGCGUGUCCGCGCGGCGCCCGGUGGGGGACGACCGCGGGCCGUAGCCUGUUGGAGCGCGCGGGGCGCCGGGCCGGGGGCUCGGGGUGCCCCGCGGGGGACCGCGCAGCCGGGCUCCCGGUGCGGAGCAGUUUUCGCGAACUCUCCGCCUCCGUCUCACUGGGGCCCACCGCCGCCGGGAGACCCCCGUCCGGACCUGCCAAGAAAGGAGUGUCAUGAAAAAGGAACAGAAAAGAGACGUCCCUGUUGCUGAAAGGGGAAUUUUCUUUCCCAGUUGGUGGUACUUCAUGAUUGGAAGAGAAGUACCUAGGUGGCUGAAGAGAUUAGAUUCUCAUAGUUGUUACAGAUGAAGCUGAUAAAAAGAAGAUGGGAAAAUGCUUUCUCUGGGUCAUAAUAGGCUGAUGAAUUACAACCCAGGAGCAAAUUCCAGAGCCUCCGGCCAGAAACUCAGCCUUCCAGCGAGGAGUGCAGGAGAGCACGCACCUCUGCGCUGGGACCAAGUGCCACAGACCUACGACAGUAAGGUUCAUGCCGCUGAGGAGAGGAACUCCCUUCCUGUGACAGUUUGCUUUGGAUGUUGCUGUCCACACCCUUGCUAAGGUUCGCUGUAUGCAGAUUAGAAGACGCUAUUUUGUGGAUCCUUGCACAUGCCAGCUCUGCUGCCCCCCCACCCCCAGCCCGUAUCAAGCCGUAGGUAUUACGGAUACGCAGGACAGGCUGCACCGACCUGCUGACACUGAAGGGCUGUGCCGACCCUAUCAGAGGCCCUCCUCUAGGACAGUGUAAGUUUCUGUGGCCAGAGCUGGGACAUGGGAGCCAGAAUUCCUAGACUCAAACUCACCACAACAUGGUAUACAUCUGACUCCAUUACCACAUGCUCCUGCCCCCACCAGCGAUCCCAGAGGUAAAGUCUAUUCUGGACUUUGUGUUCACCAUUCCCUUGCUUUUCAUUAUCGCUCCACCACAUAUGUCUCCAUCCUUACCAACAUAUUGUAUAGUUUUGCAUGCUUUUUUAUACUUUAUGUAAACAGUAACAUACUGCAUAUAUUCUUGUGCAGCUUGCUUUUCUUCGCUGAACAUUAUGUCUAAUGCAUGUUGAUGUCUGGAGCUCACUUAUUUUCAACGUGGCAGUGUUCCAUUAUAGGAAUAUGCUAGUAUCUGAAAUACCAUACUUUAUCUUUUAUCUUGUUGGAUUUUGGGAAUGUGUUUAAUUUUUGCAAAUUCAAACAUUAUAUAUAAAACUAUUGAAGUAUGUUGCAUAAUGCACACAUACAAGAAUGCUGCCACCGUGUUUUGAUUGUACCCAGGACCUCCCCACCCAGCUUCACUUUAGCCCAGUAUAUAGACUAAGGGCUCAAAGCACAUCCUCAACUGUUUGUGAUACCAAAUUAUUAUUUUUACAGAUUGUACAAACUGACACUCUAGCCAUUACAGAAAAGUUUUUGCUGCUCCAGAAUUUCCCUGCACUUGACAUUUCCAUACUUUGAAGUAUUUUCCUGUCUGGUGGGAUGAAAGACAGUUAGGUUUUUCCUUCUUUUUUUUUUUUCCCCCGCAGUCCUCUGAUUAUUAAUGACACAGAGGGCACGCACACACACACAGUAGUCCUUAUUUUUUCCAUUUGUGUUUCUUCUUUUGUGAAAUGAAAUCCAUCUUCAUGCCUUUUAUCCAUUUUUCCAUUGCAUUCAUUUUUUCUCACUGAUUCACUAAAGUUUACAAUAUAUUAAUACUACUAAUACUUUGAUUAUAUUCACUGUAAAUAACUUCUUGGCUUAUAUUUUCAUGAUAUUUGUACUGUGACUUUUGUGAUGUAUUUUGAUACAUAGGUGUUCUCAAUUUGAAUGUAAACAAGUAUGUGUUUGUCUUUAUUGUUUAUGCUGGGUUUUUUGCAUCUUAUUAAAGAAUUGUUCUUAAGUUCUUGGCACUGAAAAUGUUCUCCAUUUUCUUCAAAGCAUUUAAAUUUUCUUAUCAUUAUCUAUUGCUGCAAAACAAUAUUACCAGAAACGUAACAGCUCAGAACAGCACAUGUUUAUUAUCUCACGAUUUCUGAGGGUCAGGAAUCCAGGUGUAGCUGACCUGGGCCUGACCUCUGGUCGGGGUCUUGUAUGCGGCUGCAAGGAAGUCCUGGCCAGGACAAGGACAUGAACACCAGGAGAUGGAUUAACUAGGGGUUAUUUUAGAGUCUACCUGCCACAGAUUUUUUGUCUUUUACAUUUAAAUAUUUAAUCUGCUUACAUUAAUUGUGUGUAUUCUGAGUUUUCUUUCCUGUAUGAAUAACCUGUUGUCCUAGAUUGAACAGAUUCAGUAACCUUUUCUUUUCCAUUAACCGUCACUGCCAUCUCUACCACCUAUCAGGUCCUUACAUUUGGUGUGAGCUGAUUUCUGAGCUUUCUACUGUAUUUCGCUGGCAAAUUUCAUUACCCAGUGACAAUAUCCCAGUCUUAAUUACUGUAGCUUUUUGUUAGCCUUGAAAUCUGGCAAGUCUUUUUACUUUCUUUUUCCUCAUUUCUUAAGCCUUUGUUCUUCCUCAUGCAUUUUAGAAUUAGUUUGCAUAGCUCCUCAAAACAAACAAAGAACAACACGUGUUAACUGUAAAUGCAUUACAUCAGUUUUGGGAGAAUCCACCUCCUUACAUUAAUUAAACCCCAUUCAUAAGCAUGGUAUGUCUCUCCUUUCAUAUAACCUUUGUUAAUCCUUUGAUAGAUUUAUGUAUGAGCACUUUAUAUAUUGCUAUUACAGUGGAUAUUUAUUCUUAAUUAUAUGUUCUGAUACUAGUAUAUAGAAAAUAUAGUUGAUUUUUGUGUAUUUAUAUUGUAUCAGGGAACUUAUAAAGUCCUCUUACUAGUUUAGUAAUUUACCUGUAAAUUCUUUCAAAAUACUUACACAGAUAGUUUUGUAAUUUGUAAUUAAUGAGAAUAUAUUUCCUUCCUUUUAAUCUUACAACUUUUUAAUGUUCUUACUGGACUUGUUAGGGCUCCCUGCAGAAUACUGAAUGGGUUUGUUAAUGUGAAUGUUCUUGCACUGUUUCUAAUGUGAACGGAGUGCGUCUGCAUUUCACCACAGAGCAAAUGAAUGGAUGCUGUGUGUAUUUCAUAGAUUCACUUUAUCAGGAUGUGGUGUUCCUUUCUACUCCCAGUUGAUAAGUGACUUUUUAUCAUCAAUGCAUGAUGAGAUUUAUUCAAUGCUUUUGCUGCAUUUAUUGUGAUAACCAUAUGUUUCUUUGCCUUUAUCUGUUAACGUAGUGUAUUAUGUGAAAAUAUAUUUUUUUCCUUUGAGAUUAAACCAAACUUGGCUUGCCAUAAUAAAACCAGCCUGGGAAUGAUUCAUUAUACUUGUAUUUGUUGCUGGAUUGAGUUUGUUAAUAAUUAAGAUAUUUAUAUCAACAUUUCUGAUUGUGGUUUUCUCAAAACAUACUUGUCUAAUUUUGAAGUUAACAUACUUGUCGUACAAAAUAAGCUGAG
rnacentral:lncRNA from 1 species